rnacentral:tRNA from 1 species
GCACUAGUAGCUCAGAAAUCAGAGCAUCGGUCUUGUAAACCGAAUGUCGGAAGUUUAAGUCUUCCCUGGCGCC